rnacentral:rRNA from 1 species
GCAGUCGAACGGCAGCGCGGGGCAACCUGGGCGGCGAGUGGCGAACGGGUGAGUAAUAUAUCGGAACGUACCCAAGAGUGGGGGAUAACGUAGCGAAAGUUACGCUAAUACCGCAUACGAUCUAAGGAUGAAAGCAGGGGAUCUUCGGACCUUGUGCUCCUGGAGCGGCCGAUAUCUGAUUAGCUAGUUGGUGAGGUAAAGGCUCACCAAGGCCACGAUCAGUAGCUGGUCUGAGAGGACGACCAGCCACACUGGAACUGAGACACGGUCCAGACUCCUACGGGAGGCAGCAGUGGGGAAUUUUGGACAAUGGGCGAAAGCCUGAUCCAGCAAUGCCGCGUGAGUGAAGAAGGCCUUCGGGUUGUAAAGCUCUUUUGUCAGGGAAGAAACGGUGAGGGCUAAUAUCCCUCGCUAAUGACGGUACCUGAAGAAUAAGCACCGGCUAACUACGUGCCAGCAGCCGCGGUAAUACGUAGGGUGCAAGCGUUAAUCGGAAUUACUGGGCGUAAAGCGUGCGCAGGCGGUUUUGUAAGUCUGACGUGAAAUCCCCGGGCUCAACCUGGGAAUUGCGUUGGAGACUGCAAGGCUAGAAUCUGGCAGAGGGGGGUAGAAUUCCACGUGUAGCAGUGAAAUGCGUAGAGAUGUGGAGGAACACCGAUGGCGAAGGCAGCCCCCUGGGGUCAGAUUGACGCUCAUGCACGAAAGCGUGGGGAGCAAACAGGAUUAGAUACCCUGGUAGUCCACGCCCUAAACGAUGUCUACUAGUUGUCGGGUUUUAAUU